rnacentral:rRNA from 1 species
UACGUAGGUGGCAAGCGUUGUCCGGAUUUACUGGGUGUAAAGGGCGUGCAGCCGGGCUGACAAGUCAGAUGCGAAAUCCCGCGGCUCAACCGCGGAACUGCAUUUGAAACUGUCAGUCUUGAGUACCGGAGAGGUCAUCGGAAUUCCUUGUGUAGCGGUGAAAUGCGUAGAUAUAAGGAAGAACACCAGUGGCGAAGGCGGAUGACUGGACGGCAACUGACGGUGAGGCGCGAAAGCGUGGGGAGCAAACAGG